rnacentral:lncRNA from 1 species
GGGGAUUCCGUCCAGGCGGCCAAUCUAAGGCGCCCGUACAACCUUCCGGCCAAUGGGGCCUCCGCUCUUAUCGCGAAGUCCCUUCAACGCCCUGUUUCCUCUCUCGGGUUUCCUCCCUCCCCCGCCUAGGAGGGGGAAAGAGGAAAGGGGGAGUGUGGCGGGGCGGGUGAUAAUGGGGAGGUAUCAGGGCAAAUAAUAGAGCAGGGGGUGGGCGAAGAGAGCGCCAGUGCGUAGCGACGAUUCUGGGAGAGGAGGUGCUCGGAGGAAAGGGCGGGGGUUGCUGAUGUAAUGGGGAGAAGUGAUUAAUCCUUCGGUUCGCCGUUUCAGCUUCCCCCCUACCCCAACCUUCACCCGAUUUUUUUGAGCUGAAAAAAAAGUGGAACGAGGGAGCCAAUCUUUGGUCCCACAAACUGCAAGGAAAAGAAAAACCCUCAACAGGAAUUACCUUUAUACCUGAUGCCCCCAACAUAAUCUCUCUCCAAGGGAAACGUGUUUUUAUUGCCUUGCGGCUGAAAAUGUAUUCUCGAUUCUCCCCCUUCUCUCUUUUGUUGUGCAUUUUUUGGAUGUGGUAAAACUGGCAGUUUAUCUGAUUAUCUGGUUUUCAGAACUUUGGGCGAUGUCUCUGAGUGUCAUCAGUUGCUCUCUAGGUUUGACAUAGAUAAUUAAGCAACUACAAAGCGUGAUAAAGCUUUUGAGAGGGAGGAAAAUGUAUUUUGGAAGGAGGGAGAGACGCAAAGAGGCGAGCCUGUGUGUUGAGUCCCAGACUUGGUGUGUGACUACAGGCAAAGUACUUCACCUUUCUAGAUGUCAGCCCCGCCCCCCUCACCUCCCAAGUUUAAAUAAGAACUUAUUUUAGACUACAUGAUCCUGUUUUCAAUUUUUAAGAGUUCUGUGAUUUUGAGAUGAUCUCUCUUUAGUCCAGAAAAAUAGAGAAACGUAGGUCUAUGUUUGUUUCUCAAAAAAAUAUUUGAGGAGGACAGCUGUUACAAAA